GCCAGCAUGGUGUAGUGGUUUGAGCACUGGACUAUGACUCGAGAUCAGGGUUUGAAUCCCUGCUUGGACA
rnacentral:tRNA from 1 species